AUUGAACGCUGGCGGCAGGCUUAACACAUGCAAGUCGAACGAUGAAGAUAUAGCUUGCUAUAUCGGAUUAGUGGCGGACGGGUGAGUAACACUUAGGAAUCUACCUUUUAGCGGGGGAUAGCUCGGGGAAACUCGAAUUAAUACCGCAUAAUUUCUACGGAAUAAAGAGGGCUUUUAGCUCUCACUAGAAGAUGAGCCUAAGUAAGAUUAGCUAGUUGGUGGGGUAAAAGCCUACCAAGGCGACGAUCUUUAGCUGGUCUGAGAGGAUGAUCAGCCACACUGGGGCUGAGACACGGCCCAGACUCCUACGGGAGGCAGCAGUGGGGAAUAUUGGACAAUGGGGGCAACCCUGAUCCAGCCAUGCCGCGUGUGUGAAGAAGGCCUUUUGGUUGUAAAGCACUUUAAGCAGUGAAGAAGACCUAUUGGUUAAUACCCAAUAGUGAUGACAUUAACUGCAGAAUAAGCACCGGCUAACUCUGUGCCAGCAGCCGCGGUAAUACAGAGGGUGCAAGCGUUAAUCGGAAUUACUGGGCGUAAAGCGAGCGUAGGUGGUUAAAUAAGUCAGAUGUGAAAGCCCUGGGCUCAACCUAGGAACGGCAUCUGAAACUAUUUAACUAGAGUAGGUGAGAGGGAAGUAGAAUUUCAGGUGUAGCGGUGAAAUGCGUAGAGAUCUGAAGGAAUACCGAUGGCGAAGGCAGCUUCCUGGCAUCAUACUGACACUGAGGCUCGAAAGCGUGGGUAGCAAACAGG
rnacentral:rRNA from 1 species